UACGGAGGGGGCUAGCGUUGUUCGGAAUUACUGGGCGUAAAGCGCGCGUAGGCGGACCUUCAAGUCGGGGGUGAAAGCCCGAGGCUCAACCUCGGAACUGCCUUCGAUACUGCGGGUCUCGAGUCCGGGAGAGGUGAGUGGAAUUCCUAGUGUAGAGGUGAAAUUCGUAGAUAUUAGGAAGAACACCAGUGGCGAAGGCGGCUCACUGGCCCGGUACUGACGCUGAGGCGCGAAAGCGUGGGGAGCAAACAGG
rnacentral:rRNA from 1 species